UGUUCCGGUUGAAGUUUCUGGGGGGAGGGGGAAACCAUCGACUAUUGUAAAUUCGGAUGAGGGUCUUGGAAAGUUCGACCCUGCCAAGUUGAGGAAGCUUCGACCAAGUUUUAAGGAGAAUGGAGGUACCGUAACUGCGGGCAAUGCUUCCAGCAUAAGUGAUGGUGCUGCUGCCAUAGUUCUGGUGAGCGGGAAGAAGGCACUGGAACUUGGGCUGGAAGUUAUUGCAAAAAUUAAAGGAUAUGCUGAUGCUGCUCAUGAGCCAGAAUUUUUCACAACUGCACCAGCCCUUGCAGUUCCAAAGGCCAUUUCCCAUGCUGGCCUAGAAGCUUCACAAAUUGACUUCUACGAAAUAAAUGAAGCAUUCGCUGUUGUGGCUCUUGCCAAUCAGAAAUUACUUGGAAUCUCUCCUGAUAAAGUGAACGUGCAUGGUGGAGCCGUGUCUUUGGGGCAUCCUCUAGGUUGCAG
rnacentral:misc_RNA from 1 species